GGAGGCAGCAGUGGGGAAUUUUCCGCAAUGGGCGAAAGCCUGACGGGGCAAUGCCGCGUGGAGGAUGAAGGCCCAAUGGGUCGUAAACUUCUUUAGAUCAGAGACGAGGAGAUGACGGUACCUGAAGAACUAAGCAUCGGCUAAACCCCGUGCCAGCAGCCGCGGUAAGACGGGGGAUGCAAGCGUUAUCCGGAAUGAUUGGGCGUAAAGGGUCCGCAGGUGGCCCGGUCAGUCCGCUGUCAAAGCCUGGGGCUCAACCCUGGAGAGGCGGCGGAGACCACCGGGCUUGAGUCCGGUAGGGGCAGAGGGAAUUCCCGGUGGAGCGGUGAAAUGCGUAGAGAUCGGGAAGAACGCCAAGGGCGAAGGCACUCUGCUAGGCCUGAUUUCGCGACUGACACUCAGGGACGAGAGCCAGGGGAGCGAAUGGGAUUAGAUACACCAGUAGUC
rnacentral:rRNA from 1 species